GUCCUCGUUUCAGCAGCACAGUACACUAAAAUUGGAAUGAUACAGAGAAGAUUGGCACAGCCCCAGUGCAAGGAUGACACACAAAUUCAUGAAGCAUUUAAAUGCUUA
ensembl:snRNA U6 U6 spliceosomal RNA